rnacentral:rRNA from 1 species
GAUGAACGCUGGCGGCGUGCCUAAUACAUGCAAGUCGAGCGAACGGACGAGAAGCUUUCUUCUCUGAUGUUAUCGGCGGACGGGUGAUUAACACGUGGAUAACCUACCUAUAAGACUGGGAUAACUUCGGGAAACCGGAGCUAAUACCGGAUAAUAUUUUGAACCUCAUGGUUCAAAAGUGAAAGACGGUCUUGCUGUCACUUAUAGAUGGAUCCGCGCUGCAUUAGCUAGUUGGUAAGGUAACGGCUUAACAAGGCAACGAUGCAUAGCCGACCUGAGAGGGUGAUCGGCCAGCCUGGAACUGAGACACGGUCCAGACUCCUACGGGAGGAAGCAGUAGGGAAUCUUCCGCAAUGGGGGAAAGCCUGACGGAGCAACGCCGCGUGAGUGAUGAAGGUCUUCGGAUCGUAAAACUCUGUUAUUAGGGAAGAACAUAUGUGUAAGUAACUGUGCGCAUCUUGACGGUACCUAAUCAGAAAGCCACGGCUAACUACGUG